CCUACGGGUGGCAGCAGUGAGGAAUAUUGGUCAAUGGACGCAAGUCUGAACCAGCCAUGCCGCGUGCAGGAAGACGGCUCUAUGAGUUGUAAACUUCUUUUGUACGAGGGUAAACGCAGAUACGCGUACCUGUUUGAAAGUAUCUUACGAAUAAGGAUCGGCUAACUCCGUGCCCGCAGCCGCGGUAAUACGGAGGAUUCAAGCGUUAUCCGGAUUUAUUGGGUUUAAAGGGUGCGUAGGUGGUCGGAUAAGUUAGUGGUGAAAGCUCGAGGCUCAACUUGAGAAUUGCCUUUGAUACUGUUCGUCUAGAGAGUAGUUGCGGUAGGCGGAAUGUAUGGUGUAGCGGUGAAAUGCUUAGAGAUCACACAGAACACCGAUUGCGAAGGCAGCUUACCAAGCUACUACUGACAUUGAGGCACGAAAGCGUGGGGAGCAAACAGGAUUAGAUACCCUGGUAGUC
rnacentral:rRNA from 1 species